rnacentral:rRNA from 1 species
CAGUCGCCGCGGUAAUACGAAGGGUGCAAGCGUUACUCGGAAUUACUGGGCGUAAAGCGUGCGUAGGUGGUUGUUUAAGUCUGCUGUGAAAGCCCUGGGCUCAACCUGGGAAUUGCAGUGGAUACUGGGCAACUAGAGUAAGGUAGAGGAUAGUGGAAUUUCCGGUGUAGCAGUGAAAUGCGUAGAGAUCGGAAGGAACAUCUGUGGCGAAGGCGACUAUCUGGGCCAUUACUGACACUGAGGCACGAAAGCGUGGGGAGCAAACAGGAUUAGAGACCCCCGUAGUCCCUGUCUCUUAUAC